rnacentral:rRNA from 1 species
CCUCUAGGGAAGAUGUGUAGGAAAAUCCGCACGCUGGCUUCAAUGCCGAUUCCGAGGAGAGCUAAAAGCUUUGGGUUCGCCCAGGGCUAUCAUACAAAGCACGCUUCCGAGAAAAACUUCUAAACUUAUGCAUAUAGAAUCCGUACCGCAAACCGACACAGGUGUUCAAGUCGAGUAGACUAAGACGAACGAGUGAGAGGUCUCCAAGGAACUCGGCAAAAAAAGCAGCCGUAACUUCGGAAUAAGGCUUGCCUCUCUUCAUUGAGAGGCCGCAGCUAAAGUAUCUCUGGCAACUGUUUAUCAAAAACACAGCUCCCUGCGAACUCGUAAGAGGAUGUAUAGGGGGUGACACUUGACCAAUGCCAGAAGGUCAAAUAUCGACGUUGCUUUGUCGCAAGAUGAAGUGGUGAUUGAUAUAAGCCCUGGUGAAUGUCGGCCGUAACUAUAACGGUCCUAAGGUAGCGAAAUUCCUUGUCGGGUAAGUUCCGACGCGCACGAAUAGUGUAAUGCCUGGAGAACUGUCUCGGAGACUUGCUCGGUGAAAAUACAGUAUCGGUGAAGAUGCCGAUUACCUGCAGUUAGACGAAAAGACCCUAGAAGCUUUACUGCAACUUGAUUUUGACUAUAUGUUUUUUAUGCGUAGCGUAGAUGGGAGGAUUUGAAGUUUAUCUCUCGGGGUAGAUGGAUCCGCAAGUGAAAUACCAUUCUUAAAAAAUAUAUAUUCUAACCUCGACGGCAAAAACGACGAGAGACAGAAUCUGGCGGGCAGUUUUAGUGGGGCGCUAUCCUCCUAAAAAGUAACGGAGGAGUUUAAAGGUCAGCUAGGCGCGAAUGGAAACCGUGCCGAUAGUGUAUAGGCAUAAGCUGGCUUGACUGUAAGACGUACUUGUCGAACAGAUGCGAAAGCAGAACUAAGUGAACCGACCUUUUGCAUUAGAUGCAGGGGAAGAUUAUCGGACAAAAGCUACUCUAGGGAUAACAGGCUGGUUGCGCCUAAGCGUUCCUAGCGACGGCGCAGUUCGGCACCUCGAUGUCGGCUCAACUUAUCCUGGAGGUGGAGAAGCUUCCAAGGGUUUGGCUGUUCGCCAAUUAAAAAGUUACGCGAGCUGGGUUCAGACCGUCGUGAGACAGGUUGGUCUCCUAUCUACUGCAGGCGUCGAUUCUUGAGGGGAUUUGACUCUAGUACGAGAGGACCGAGUUGAACUGACCUCUGGUCUGACUGCUGUCCUGCCAAGGGCACCGCAGUGUAGCUAUGUCGGGAACGGAUAAAUUCUGAAAGCAUCUAAGAAUGAAGCCGACCCCAAGAUUAAGAAUCGUUUGAGACCCCUGGGAGAUGACCAGGUUGAUAGGCUUUAGGUGUACGCAUCGUAAGGUGUUGAGCCGUGAAGUACUAAUCCGUC